rnacentral:lncRNA from 1 species
UUAUUUGGAAAUUUAAGUGACCAGACUGGAGGUAAGGUCCCUGGUCGAGCAUUGCUCUCGGGGCGCCAGUCUUAUUGGAUUAAGAGAGCCAAAUGGCUACUAGAUUUCUUAUUUGGAUAUUUAAGUGACCAGACUGGAAGUAAGGUCCCUGGUCGAGCUUUGCUCUCGGGGCGCCAGUCUUAUUGGAUAAGAGAGCCAAAAGGCUAAGGCUGAGAGUUAAGUGACCGGACUGGAGGUAAGGUCCCUGGUCGAGCUUUGCUCUCUGGGCGCCAGUCCUGUUGGAAUGAGAGGUUUGAGAUGAUAGAGUUGAGGUUAGUUGAGACAUGAGUGUUGAAAUAAUCGAGAUUUUAGAGUUGGGAUUAGAGUUCUACUGAAGUACUCUGUCCCGUUGCAUGUGGAAUAAAUUUUGUUUAAGCAUGGCAUGACACAUAU